UUUUACUUAAUUUUUAUCUCUUAAUUGUCUAUUAAACUUUUAAAUUCUAUAAAAAAUACGUGAACCUCGUUUUUCACAGCAUGGAAUGCUGAAAAUCCUGUUACAUGAAAGUCUUGCAGAACACGAGAGACCUGUCAGCCAACACCAGGGACCUUGCAAAACUGCCAGUUUCUAAGACCUGUAGAGAGAAUUCAGCUUUCAAAAGUUCAGGAAUUAGAUGGUAACUGCGCGCCGUCUAGCUGCUGAAUUUUCUUUGAGCAUACAGUGAAAACCCAAGGCUUUCUAUUGCAAAGGACAGAACCCCGGCUCAGCGGUGGCCUUCUCGCAACACUCCACUUGAGCCAGGAAUGUCCCAGCAUGCAGAAACACCAAAGUGGGUUACAGACCCAGCAGUUCAAGCUUUGAAACAAAGAACCACAAAGGGAAGCUUUGAGCUUCUGUUGCACCGGGGGAGCGCAUCAUGGAACAGAAACUGGCUUUGAAGCUCAGAGACCCAUCUGCCACAAUGGUUUGUUAAGGAAGUAAAAAUAAAUGAGCAAUAAAAAUGACCUCUGCAAAAGAACAGAUGAGCUUUGUUGAGAUGAUUCAGUUUGUGCUAUUUCACACGUGACAGCAGGAUCCGAAAUAAGCGUUGGUUAUCGAAAGGAGUGAGAGCUAACAAUCCGAACCUUGGGUUUAAAGGCUGAGGAGAAAAUGUAAAGCCACACUUUGAGGAGUCUGCAUGUCCCCAAGAGGAACUAUAUAGAAUCAGUUGGACCAACAGGCUCAGCUAAAACACAAGACAUGUUUGGGAAAGUGACAGUUUAUUCUUCUCUCCUUCAACUCGUUAAGAAAUUAAUUAUUACUCUCAAAGCCAAUCAUAAGGCAAAAAAAGUAUCACAUAGACUCCCACAGUCCCAUUCGUAGAAUCAAUUACAUUAAGACUUGUGUACAACUUCAAAACCAUGAGAUUUUUGGUAAGCACUUAUAUGUAUUCCAUUUUCUAAGAAAUCUCUCUUGCCUCAGUCAGGCAGCUAUCUGGGUGAAACACCGAAGCCUGGAAAUUUUACAGUCCAUAGCACAGUCAUAACUAAAGGUUCAAAAUUUGCUUUGCUCAAAGGCACAAGGCCAAAAUAACACAGGUCAGCAGAACUUGGGUAGUGUCACUGAAUUUAAAUUUUUCAUUUUUUUCUUUAGUCUCCAAUUUUAAGCUUUUAGCCAAAGCUCAGAUCCUCAGCAGCACAAACCUGCUUCACGAACAAAAAAACUGAAGGUGUUUCCUUCCACAUUUCCCCUGCACUAUCCUCAUUUGUUGUGCCAAAGAAAACAGAAGCCUUGGCAGCAAAUCAGUUGUGCAGCCAAAGGCCAUAGCAUUCCACCACACUUGUGAGAAGCUCAUUGUCAGAGUUACUGCUGGCAUGUGAACAUUCCGCACUGACUGGUCAUGUCCCACCAAUACCGAGACGGAAUCCCUCUGAUGACAGAAAAAUGAGCAUUUAAAUAAUUUGUAGAACUUCUCCAUUUCCGCUAGUACGUGGAAUGAUAAAUAUUAUAAAAAAGACUUAAAAUAGUGGUCCCAAGAGUAACUUGUAACUCCAGCAAACAGAAUGGAUCAGCAUAAAACAAAUAAAGAUGCAUCUUACUUUGCAAAUCAAAGGUUACAAUUACUAUAAAAUACCUCCCUCAGCCACUGGAAAAUGAACCAUUAGAGUCAAAUUCAGUCAGC